rnacentral:rRNA from 1 species
GCCUAACACAUGCAAGUCGAGGGGCAGCAUGGUCUUAGCUUGCUAAGGCCGAUGGCGACCGGCGCACGGGUGAGUAACACGUAUCCAACCUGCCGUCUACUCUUGGACAGCCUUCUGAAAGGAAGAUUAAUACAAGAUGGCAUCAUGAGUCCGCAUGUUCACAUGAUUAAAGGUAUUCCGGUAGACGAUGGGGAUGCGUUCCAUUAGAUAGUAGGCGGGGUAACGGCCCACCUAGUCUUCGAUGGAUAGGGGUUCUGAGAGGAAGGUCCCCCACAUUGGAACUGAGACACGGUCCAAACUCCUACGGGAGGCAGCAGUGAGGAAUAUUGGUCAAUGGGCGCAGGCCUGAACCAGCCAAGUAGCGUGAAGGAUGACUGCCCUAUGGGUUGUAAACUUCUUUUAUAAAGGAAUAAAGUCGGGUAUGUAUACCCGUUUGCAUGUACUUUAUGAAUAAGGAUCGGCUAACUCCGUGCCAGCAGCCGCGGUAAUACGGAGGAUCCGAGCGUUAUCCGGAUUUAUUGGGUUUAAAGGGAGCGUAGAUGGAUGUUUAAGUCAGUUGUGAAAGUUUGCGGCUCAACCGUAAAAUUGCAGUUGAUACUGGAUAUCUUGAGUGCAGUUGAGGCAGGCGGAAUUCGUGGUGUAGCGGUGAAAUGCUUAGAUAUCACGAAGAACUCCGAUUGCGAAGGCAGCCUGCUAAGC